rnacentral:rRNA from 1 species
UACGUAGGGGGCAAGCGUUGUCCGGAAUCAUUGGGCGUAAAGAGCGCGUAGGCGGCCCUGUAAGUCCGCUGUGAAAGUCAAGGGCUCAACCCUUGGAUGCCGGUGGAUACUGCAGGGCUAGAGUCCGGAAGAGGCGAGUGGAAUUCCUGGUGUAGCGGUGGAAUGCGCAGAUAUCAGGAGGAACACCGGUGGCGAAGGCGGGUCUCUGGGCCGAUACUGACGCUGAGGAGCGAAAGCGUGGGGAGCGAACAGG